AGGUGUAUAGAUGAUGUAAGAUGUGUGUACAGAGAAACUAUAGAUGUUGAAACAGAUGUAUAGAUGAUGUAAGGUUUUGAAACAGAUGUAUAGAUGAUGUAAGAUGUGUGCAUGGAAACUAUAGAUGUUGAAACAGAUGUAUAGAUGAUGUAAGGUUUUGAAACAGAUGUAUAGAUGAUGUAAGGUUUUGAAACAGAUGUAUAGAUGAUGUAAGAUAUGUGAACAGGGAAACUAUAGAUGUUGAAACAGAUGUAUAGAUGAUGUAAGGUUUUGAAACAGAUGUAUAGAUGAUGUAAGAUGUGUGUACAGAGAAACUAUAGAUGUUGAAACAGAUGUAUAGAUGAUGUAAGAUGUGUGAACAGAGAAACUAUAGAUGUUGAAACAGAUGUAUAGAUGAUGUAAGGUUUUGAAACAGAUGUAUAGAUGAUGUAAGAUGUGUGAACAGAGAAACUAUAGGUGUUGAAACAGAUGUAUAGAUGAUGUAAGGUUUUGAAACAGGUGUAUAGAUGAUGUAAGAUGUGUGAACAGAGAAACUAUAGAUGUUGAAACAGAUGUAUAGAUGAUGUAAGGUUUUGAAACAGAUGUAUAGAUGAUGUAAGAUGUGUGAACAGGGAAACUAUAGAUGUUGAAACAGAUGUAUAGAUGAUGUAAGGUUUUGAAACAGAUGUAUAGAUGAUGUAAGAUGUGUGUACAGAGAAACUAUAGAUGUUGAAACAGAUGUAUAGAUGAUGUAAGAUGUGUGUACAGAGAAACUAUAGAUGUUGAAACAGAUGUAUAGAUGAUGUAAGAUGUGUGUACAGAGAAACUAUAGAUGUUGAAACAGAUGUAUAGAUGAUGUAAGAUGUGUGUACAGGGAAACUAUAGAUGUUGAAACAGAUGUAUAGAUGAUGUAAGAUGUGUGUACAGGGAAACUAUAGAUGUUGAAACAGAUGUAUAGAUGAUGUAAGAUGUGUGAACAGAGAAACUAUAGAUGUUGAAACAGAUGUAUAGAUGAUGUAAGAUGUGUGAACAGGGAAACUAUAGAUGUUGAAACAGAUGUAUAGAUGAUGUAAGAUGUGUGUACAGAGAAACUAUAGAUGUUGAAACAGAUGUAUAGAUGAUGUAAGGUUUUGAAACAGAUGUAUAGAUGAUGUAAGAUGUGUGUACAGGGAAACUAUAGAUGUUGAAACAGAUGUAUAGAUGAUGUAAGGUUUUGAAACAGAUGUAUAGAUGAUGUAAGAUGUGUGAACAGGGAAACUAUAGAUGUUGAAACAGAUGUAUAGAUGAUGUAAGAUGUGUAGACAGGGAAACUAUAGAUGUUGAAACAGAUGUAUAGAUGAUGUAAGAUGUGUGAACAGGGAAACUAUAGAUGUUGAAACAGAUGUAUAGAUGACUUGGUUAAUGGACGUCUCGGCAAUAUUAAACCAAAUUAAAACAUCGAUG